GGGCUGGGCUCGGUGGUAGAGUGCUUGCCUAGCUUGCAUGAGGCCCUGGGUUCGAUCCCCAGCACCACA
rnacentral:tRNA from 1 species